rnacentral:lncRNA from 1 species
GAGAUCCAAUGAAUAUGAAACUUUUGCCAUAGUUUAAGCAUAUAAUAAUGAGCUCACCAUAAAAAUUUUACUACAAUUGAACCAUAGGAACUACAUAUAUAAAUUAUUCUUAUUAAUUAUAGAAAAACAUAGAUUUAAAGCUAAAAAAAAACUUUGUACUAAAUUAUACUAUAUUAUAUAUUCAUUGUGUAGAUCUACUCAUCAGGAUUUCAACAAAAUGGAUGUUUUCAUUUUAUGAAUUUUCUGUGAUUUAUUAUGAUUUUUCAAAGAUUCAAUAAAAAUAAAUAAAAAAGAAAAAUACAAAACCACCCUCUAAAACCACCCUAGGGGAUUAUUUGAUUGGUUUUGAAAGUUCAGGGGGU